rnacentral:rRNA from 1 species
UACGAAGGGGGCUAGCGUUGCUCGGAAUCACUGGGCGUAAAGCGCACGUAGGCGGAUUGCUAAGUCAGGGGUGAAAUCCUGGAGCUCAACUCCAGAACUGCCUUUGAUACUGGCGAUCUCGAGUCCGGGAGAGGUGAGUGGAACUGCGAGUGUAGAGGUGAAAUUCGUAGAUAUUCGCAAGAACACCAGUGGCGAAGGCGGCUCACUGGCCCGGUACUGACGCUGAGGUGCGAAAGCGU